CGCACGGGUGAGUAACACGUAUCCAACCUGCCGUCUACUCUUGGACAGCCUUCUGAAAGGAAGAUUAAUCCAGGAUGGCAUCAUGAGUUCACAUGUCCGCAUGAUUAAAGGUAUUUUCCGGUAGACGAUGGGGAUGCGUUCCAUUAGAUAGUAGGCGGGGUAACGGCCCACCUAGUCAACGAUGGAUAGGGGUUCCGAGAGGAAGGUCCCCCACAUUGGAACUGAGACACGGUCCAA
rnacentral:rRNA from 1 species